CCUCGUUUGUUGCAGUAUAUUUUGAACAAAUAAACAAUUUAUUAGGAAAAUACGUUCAAGAAACGUCUCGUGCUGUACUAGCCUAAUUCUGGCAAAUGUUAUUUACUUUCUUCACCUUCGUGUCGACGACUGUUGUUUGCUGAUGGCCAAAUCACGACAGCGGACAUCAAUUAUUCAAAAUAUGUUCUUAUAGCUUCACGUUUACGAUACGAAUGUAAGAUUAUUUAUUUUUUGUAUAUGUAGGUUCUAGUUGAAAGUAACAGCGACGAUGAAAAAAGUGCACACAACAUUGAAAUAUCCAGUUCACUACUAGCUCAAAUCCUGCGACAUAUCACUUGCUAGUAGCCCAGUCUAGUUUAACUUUGCCCAAUCAAGAAUCAUCUCCUGAAUCAGGCAUACUGGCAACACUGGUUCAUUUGAUAAUGUAAGUUUUUAAACUGGUAUUUUAGAUUUAUAUAGCCUCGGUCAAAUGAGGAUGAAAGUCAUGCAUGAAUUGCUUAUCAAUACACAAAGGACAUUUGAAGUUCCAGAUGAACAAAAUAUUUAUAUUAAAGCUUUGAUGAGUGUUCUGCAACUAUUUUUCAACUUUAAAAUACUCUCAUCCUCAUUUGACCCAUAAUUAUUUGUUGAUUUUACUCGAUACUAAAUAGUGAAACAUCGAAUCCAGAGAAAAUCUUUAUACGCAGAACCCACUGUAAUUCCGAGCUGUAAUCACAUAAUUAUAUAAAAGUCGUUUCAGUAGCAGCAAAAGCCAAACUAAACACCAAUCUAGGAUUAAUAGGUUUAGCUUUUAGGCCGAGAAUAAUACACGAUUGACAAUUUUGUGGCUGAUUGAUUAAUUAAUUAAUAGUAUACUGUAUAUUGAUGUUGUAUACAGGACAUCUGACUUACAUGUCAAAUUAAUAGUCGAAUCUAUGAUUAUAUUGAGCAUGGCAGAUUUGACAUUUGAAACAUUGUUGAUGUUAAUAACCCAUUGAGUCGCAUUGCGCCCUGAUGCGCACUAAGUAUUUAUUAUUUUGCUCUGGCUAUCUAACGCUAGCAAUUUUACUCAUCAAGGGGAGAGCACUGGCGGUUAAUGUGUUAACUAGCCUAUCUGCCCAUGUGUACAUAGUUAACCCAUUGAGUCGCAUUGUGCCCUAAUGCGGCCUAAUUUAUUAUUUUACUCUGCCUAUCGCAGGACAAUAUUAAGGGCAGAGCGCUGGCACUUAAUUAAUGUGUUAACUAGCCUAUCUGCCCAUGUGUGUUGUUAACACAUUGAGUUGCAUUGUGCCCUAAUUUAUUAUUUUAUUCUGUCUAUCGCCAGAUGAUUUCACUCAUUAAGGGGAGAGCACUGGUGCUUAAUGGGGUUAACUGGCCUAUCUGCCCAUGUGUGUUGUUAACACAUUGAGUCGCAUUCUGCCCUAAUUUAUUUUUUUACUCUGUCUUGAGAGGAGAACGCUGGUGCUUAAUAGGGUUAAUAUUGAAAAUAUAGAUCAACAUUUGUCAAAACGCAUGACUUGUGCAAUCAUUUCUGUAAUAAUUAAGAUAUUAAUUAAAAUACCAAAUAUAAUGCCUUAUGGCAAAUAGGGAGAUGCUAUGUAUGUCCAUUGAAACUUAGUGGAUUUGUUGUAGUACAUCAAAUAAAUGCUAGCCAUAAACAUAUUCAAGUCAAUCGAAGAGAAUGUAGAAUUGCACUUUACAUAAAAUUCCCUAGUUAUUGUACAUUAAUGAAAAAAAAAGCAUUUGAAAUGAAAUAUAUUGUUUUAAUUUUAUUUCUAUGGUUUGUACUAUGAUAUACAUGGGCUACACACUCUUUGGGAACCCGCAGGGCUGUUGGCAGAGCAUUUCCAUGAUCUGGAACUUCAGUCCUAAACACGAUGUGUGGGUGCGAAGAUGUUGUGUAGGAACAGAACUGUACAGAUUAGAAAUAUGAUUACUGAUAUUUUCCAAAGAAAAACUAUUAAUAUAUAGAAGAGGAAAGAAAGAGGCAAUUUGAAAUUUAAAAAUGGUAGGCUUAUUAAGGAUGAGAUACAGAGAAAAACAGUAAUGCAGAACUACAUUCUCUUAAAUUGUCAAAAUUAAACGCUACCAAUCUUGGUCUCGUUUCAAACUUGAAUAACAAAAAGUCUAAAAAUACAAAUACUAUAAGAACAGAUCAGCUAGGUCCAGUUAUAAAAUUAAAUGAUGAAGGAAAGCUAUCAUUUUAGGAAAGUGUUGUUUUGGGGUGUGUAAACUCAUGAGGAUACAUGUUUCUGGUGAAUCUGUGCUUGCUGCAGCAAAAAAUUAUUAAUCGUUUGUGAUAUAAUUCACCAGAUGUCUAUUUUAACCUGUGGGUUGUGGAAUUUGUUUUGUCUGACCAAGAUAUAAUGAAUACCACUAGUCACAUGAGCAUGUCCAAUUAAUAUUUAACUAGAAAUAAAUGCAUGCAGCAACCCCUUGCCUAUAUUUUCCAAACAUUGAUUUAACAUGAACUAUUAGCAAUUGGCCAGCACUGAACGCAGUCUCGCGUUGUGUCAAGUGUUGUCAAGGCAACAUAAUGUCACAUAUUUUAAAUUUUUUGAGUAAUUUUGCAAGUGUUCAUACCACAUAAUCUACCAUACAUAAUUUUAAACAAAUAGAUAGGUGAAGUAAUUCAAACAAAAUGAUUUUGAACUUUAUUACUCUACUCUGUCGAACGCCUAUUCUACUCGUAAAGGGGAGAGCUCUGGUGCUUAAUGGGUUAAAUAAGAUCGUAUAGUUAUAUGUAUAUCAUGUAUUAUGUUUUUAUGUAGUCUGCCUGAAUCACUUGUACCAGUCUAUGGAAAUUCAUGUUUCCAAUUUUGUAUUUAUUUUUCUUAUGAUGCAGUAUACUGUAAAUUUGAAUAAUAUUUGUGUGCUUAUAGUGAGCUUAUUUUUAGGAGAGUUUGUUGCGAGGCAGCAUAUAUUUUGAUUUUUCAAAAUAUUGCUGUAUAUUGGUAUGUUAUACUUAAUAUUAGAAUGUUAGGGUUUGGAAUCCAAGUGAGAAUAUAUACAUUUUAAGACCUAACCAGGAACGACUGCGAAAAAUGCAGCCCAAGGUCCUCUGGUAGGAAUCGAACCUACGGCCCUGCGAUUCCGGUGCAGCGCUCUAACCAACUGAGCUACAGAGGCCAGCUGUUGAGCUGUAACCGUAAGUUCGUGUAUAUAUAGGUAACCGGGUGUGCGGGUUGUGAUAAGGUGGACUUCAUGACUUAGAUUCUGCACUUCACUUGGUGGAAUUAAUAUUAGAAUGUUAGGGUUUGGAAUCCAAGUGAGAAUAUAUACAUUUUAAGACCUAACCAGGAACAACUGCGAAAAAUGCAGCACAAGGUCCUCUGGUAGGAAUCGAACCUACGGCCCUGCGAUUCCGGUGCAGCGCUCUGAGCUACAGAGGCCAGCUGUUAAGCUGUAACCGUAAGUUCAUGUAUAUAUAGGUAAUCUGGUGUGCGGGUUGUGAUAAGGUGGACUUCAUCAUGAUUCUAAUAUUAAUUCCACCAAGUGAAGUGCAGAAUCUAAGUCAUGUUAUACUUAAUGCUUUUGGAAGAGUUAUAGGGGUCGGGUGUGAUAUACUUUUUCAGGUAUUUUGUGUCUGAUGUAUGUAAGAGCUUUAUUAUUGGGUUUCUUGGUGAGACCUUAUAUCUUAUGUGUCCUAUAACCCCGUGUAAUUGCGGAUUAUUGCAUACAUUCUAAUUGUUUUUUUGUAGGAGUCUGAAGAUGCAAAAGAUUCAAACUUAUCACAACCCAUAUUGUGGUCGUUGGCAUCGAACUUACUAGAAUACGACUAGAAACUGUCAAUCAUACGUUAUUGAGGGAAAGGAUGAAAGUUCCAUAACAAGCAACAGUUGUUUUGUUGCAAUUAUCGCCUUAUUGGCAAGUUUUUACAUCUUCAAUAUUGAGUACUGCCACACGAAGAGCAUCUUAUCUGCCUUGCAGAUUAUAGUAGUGCAUGGGCAAGACAGAAAAUGGCAUAUACAACUGCCAGUGAGGGUCACAGCCCUCUUCAAUGACUUGUCAUGACUCAUGAGUAUUAGUACUACAGUAAUUUUACACUUUUUGAGAGUUAUGUUGACAUAUGCUAACCCAAGUUAAUGUUAUUGAUGGAAUGUGUGUAUUGUCUCACAUCUCACCGAACUGUGGUAAUGUAUUAGAAAUUAUUCGUAUUGCGUUCAUGUUAACAACCGCGCCUGCUAUUGCUAUCACAAGUUGAUUGCUCUUUAAAAUUAGAAUUGUAAAGCCAUAUGGCAUAUAUGUACGAAUCUUUUGAUGGUUCCCACAUUUCGGUGAGAUCCAUAAUACUGGCUACUGUGCAUGUAUAUUGUAAUUUUUGUUAUAGUAUUGUGUUUAUAAUACAGAAAUUGGAACAUUUAUCUCAACUUAUAUUGCAAUAAUUCAUUCCAAUCUUGGUCUGUUGGAGAAAUUGUAAUAAUUUAAUCGAGACCAAAUAAACCCC